GUAAGCGAAGGAUCCGAGAACCCCGCAAUCAAGCCCAGAGAGGAACGGAGGCGACUAUUUGCAGGAGGAGGUUCUUCUGCCUCCGUUCAGGGCUCAGCUGCUCCGAGGUUAAGCCAUUUUUUUAAAGGGGCUCGGACGGACCCAAACGAAAGGAGGUCUCUCUACCGCAGAAAGCCGGUGUGUUUUGUACAGAUAUCUUGAUGAAGGAAGGAAGAAGUUGCAGAGACUACAGGCGGUGUGAAAGACAGAAGAUCCACUACCAAAGCAGAUGAAUGAACAGAUAAAUGUAGUUUAGGUCCAUACAAAGAAAAAGAAAGAAAACCGCCUAAGAGAGGUGCCUCCCUAAUUCACAUGAAGAUAAGAGGAAGGAGAAGCAACGUUUUCUUACUUCUGUUUUAAUUAGUUGUAGGCUAUCUGGUGUUGGUUUUUUGUUCUAAUUUAUCUUGUAGGGCUGAGAGUGUGAGAAUCAAAUGAUGGUAGCACAGCCUUUGCAGAGACUCCCUGCUCCU